UUCCCAGCUUUGCCUUUUGGCUUAGAUCAAGUGUAGUAUCUGUUCUUUUCAGUUUAAUCUCUGAAAUUCAUCUACUUGAUGAAACUUUGAUUAUACUUAUUUUUGUCCACCGGGAACUGACCUCCUGGCUUGCCAGUGUCAGAUCCCACUGUGUCACUGGUAUUACACUGUCUCCAGUUGACGCGACACCUC
rnacentral:snRNA from 1 species